UGGGCAACCUGCCCUCAGCUCUGGGAUAACCCCGGGAAACCGGGGCUAAUACCGGAUACGACCUCCGCGGGCAUCUGCGGAGGUGGAAAGGUUUUCCGGCUGAGGAUGGGCCCGCGGCCUAUCAGCUUGUUGGUGGGGUGACGGCCCACCAAGGCGACGACGGGUAGCCGGCCUGAGAGGGCGACCGGCCACACUGGGACUGAGACACGGCCCAGACUCCUACGGGAGGCA
rnacentral:rRNA from 1 species